GCACCCUACCCCACGCACGCACCCAAAAAAGCCAUCACGCACAAAACACCGCUCCUCUCGAUCCCCUGAUGCGAUCUUCCUGGCACCGUCGCCUUCGCGGAUCCGCCGCCACAACCAUCGCCUCGUUCCCGUGAGCCGCCGUCGCUCCCUCUCCCAGCGUCGCCUCCGCCGCCAUGGCCCCUCCCCUUGCGCCCCGAACUGCCUCGCGCACUCGUCGCCCGUUCUACCACAGAGGAGGCGAAGACAGCGGCAGCGCGCCGCCCUACUUCGCCGGUCGCCGCCUCGGCUGCACUCGGCGGGCGCCACACGCCGUCUCCUCUCCAUGGGAGUGGCGGAUGCCAACGAGGAAAGUGGAUCGACCUGGCCAUGGGGAUGGCACUACGACCCCUGCCAGCCUCCCGCGUCGCCGUGCCUCCCUGCAUCGUCGCCUCCGACCUCACCACGUAGCUCCUGUGACGAGUAAUGGGGAUGGAAAUAUAUCAACAAUGGGGUGUGGUUCGUUCCUGUCAGGUUUUUUUCUUUGACGCUGCCGCUCCUGGAGCACCAACUCAAAAUUUUCUCAUAUACUGGUGUUGCCCGAGCACGAGCACAAGGCGACAUUUUUGCUGGCCAUCUUGUUCAACACCUACUGGGGAGGCGGAGGAGGCCGGCAACAGGAGAAGGCGCAUGCCAGCGAGGAGGGCGAGCAGAAGGGUGCAGUGGAGGACGAUCAGGGGGAGACGUGAGCGCUCAGGCCUAGGUUUGUGUUGUUCUCGACUUGAGUAUAUGGGGCUCGAAUUGUGAUGGAUAUGAGGUGAGGAAAGAAGGUUUGGUAUGCAAUUAUGGUGUACACUAGAGAAACAUGUGUUUUUUUCCUAUGAAGACAUCUGCCCCUGCAAACCUCCACGUGCCGCCGAUGAGUUCGUCGUUGCCGAUGGGAUCGCCGCAAGGUGAGUUGAAUCAACCUAGCACACAACGCCGUGAUUAGGAGAUGGGAUCAUCUGAGUCAUGCGUCCCUUUAGCCUCCUCCCCUCCAACGUCCAUGGCUCUGUGAUGAAAUCAAGGUUGACUGAUGUUUGAUGGAAAAUAGAAUGGGCUUCCAUAUGAUGGAUGUACAUGGGGGAAAUAAGUCUGAUAUCUUGGUGUUUCAAUCUCAGAUUGAAUUCUUCAACAAGAUUUAGUCCAGGAGCAAGUCUACUGAGAAGAGCAAGGGUGUCGAUCAUGAUUUUUUGUUUUAGUUGACUGUAGGUUUCAUGUGGUAUGUCUCCAGGUUCGUUAUUUGAAUUUGUUUUUUUGUUAACUUCUGACGCUAUAGAUUUUAUAUCAGUAAAAGUGUCAUCCUUGGUGACAAGAUGGGACUAUAUUAGAGCUAUUAUUAGUGUAUAUGCUAGAUUGGAUCAAAUGUAGACAUAAAAAUGCAUCAAAACUGCAAGCCCACAUCUGAUUCAACACACUUCCACUGUACUGUUUGCGUGCAUCCUGCUGCAUCCUCUCGGACCAUAAUAGAGUAGUAUUAUUGUUUUUAUCAUUUAAUUGUUUAUUUAUCCUGAAAGUUGAAAGCGGGUUAAUUCUUUUUUUAGGCUGUUGACAUCCAUUAUGUGGCGUAGGUGUUGCAUCGCGCAUACAACUUAAUCCCACACCACUUUUAGCAAUGGCUCGUAAUGUGGCAUCUCUUCCACUAUCAAUGCCCUUUACCAUAACUUCUGCUCGUUGCAAACCUACUGUGCGAAUAGCAUAUACUGUUGUUCUUUUGAUCAACAUAGGGUGAUGCUUGGUAGUUACCCCUCUCUCAGCCUUGCAAAGUUUGGGUGUGUGAGUUUAUAACUUGGACACCUCACAGAAUGUUGGUUCGAAUAUUCCAAAUUGAUCAUGUAUAUAUCCCUAGCAGAUCUAAGCUGUCACUACUCUUUUUGGUUGUCAGGAGAUGUGUUUUUUAUCCCAGCUUCUAAUGAUGAAAAGAAGUAGUCAAGAAUAAAAUUUGAUGUCCUUUGGCACCUUACAAGAUGAUAAAGAUCAACACUGAUGUUCUGAUGUUUUGAUAACUGCAAAAUAGGAAUGCAUGGUACUUACGUAACCACAUCUGUUUCUGAAGGAAAUAUGCCCUAGAGGCAAUAAUAAAGUUAUUAUUUAUUUCCUUAUUUCAUGAUAAAUGUUUAUUAUUCAUGCUAGAAUUGUAUUAA